CUGCAGGAAGAUCUGGGCAGGGCACCAACGGCAUUUGCUGUGGUACAACUCACCCUCCUUAUACCACUUCCCUUAUCACGAUGUGUGAAUCCAGGCACAGGGUUGCCAGACCCUUUGAUUUUUCACGGAAGACAGGAAUCUGAAAUUUUAUAUGACAUCUUCCAAGUUUUGAUUUGUGGCAAUCAAUUUACAGUAAAAAGAGAUCACAAAGACCACUUGUGUGUGUAUUGGACUUAGCGGGUCAUGGGUUUGAAUUCCGGCCAAUGAAUUUGUCAAAGGUCAGUCACUCACUGCUUACUGGCCCCUAAGUAAUUCAUUUAUCAAAUGUUGGCCCUAGGCCAAGGAAGGAACCUUGACAAAGGUAGAGCUGGAGACCUGAGUGGCUGUGUGAAGCUCUGGAAGGCAACAAAAAGGUUUCUCCCCUGAAUAUAUUUUUAUU
rnacentral:lncRNA from 1 species